rnacentral:rRNA from 1 species
UACGUAGGGUGCAAGCGUUGUCCGGAAUUAUUGGGCGUAAAGAGCUCGUAGGCGGUCUGUCGCGUCGGCUGUGAAAUCCCGAGGCUCAACCUCGGGUCUGCAGUCGAUACGGGCAAACUAGAGUAUUGCAGGGGAGACUGGAAUUCCUGGUGUAGCGGUGAAAUGCGCAGAUAUCAGGAGGAACACCGGUGGCGAAGGCGGGUCUCUGGGCGAUAACUGACGCUGAGGAGCGAAAGCGUGGGGAGCGAACAGG